UACGUAGGGUGCGAGCGUUAAUCGGAAUUACUGGGCGUAAAGCGUGCGCAGGCGGUUCGUUAAGACAGGUGUGAAAUCCCCGGGCUCAACCUGGGAAUGGCGCUUGUGACUGGCGGGCUGGAGUACGGCAGAGGGAGGUGGAAUUCCACGUGUAGCAGUGAAAUUCGUAGAGAUGUGGAGGAACACCGAUGGCGAAGGCAGCCUCCUGGGCCAGUACUGACGCUCAUGCACGAAAGCGUGGGGAGCAAACAGG
rnacentral:rRNA from 1 species